ACACACUGACAGCCCUGUUUCCAAGAUGGCUUGUCUGAAAGUUUUCUUGUUCCACCUCACCUCUCCUGCCACUCUAUGGCAGCAAGGAGGACUCAAGAAACAUCCCUGAGCCUGGCCAGGCACUCGCCCUUACUGCUCCAAGCAGCAUUCUGAGGUGAGGAGGACGAAGUCCCAGCCAGAGAACUCUGACUCGGCAUGAUUUUCUGUUUGCUUUGCCAGCACCAGAUUUUGGCAUCUGGCGUCCUGAGUUGGCUUCUCCUCUUACACAUGGAGUGACUGUAUCUGAUCGCCUUCCUAUCAUUUUUACCUGACAAUCAGGGUAGUGCACAGAACAGCUAUCCCUUUGAGUCUGAAGUUUCAACAAACCUUUGAUUUCCCACAAAGAGCCAGAACGUCUAACAGAACCUGAGAGCCAAGGUGUGGCAGGCCUGAGGCUGAGACCUAGCUGCUCGCCCUUGGAGUAAGAGCAGCCCCUGCAUAAGGAGGAAAGGAGCCUCCGCCUCCUGACUGGAGUACACUGUGUAAGCGUCCACAGGUCUGAAGCAGCAGUGGAAGAACCUGGAAACUGCACCUGAGAAGCAGCAGGACAGACCUUUGCUGGAGAGCACAGCCCAGCUCAGGGUUGCUCCACUCAGCUCAAGCACAAAGGGCACUGCUUCCCCAGGGUUCGUUUGCUUCUCCUCACCCCACCCCCAGAAGAGGGCUGUGGAGCACUGUGUGGAUUGCAAUCCAUGCCCACCAGUGCUGAGGGCCUUCCCUUGCUGGGUGGGUACGAUGGGAAGCUGGCACCCAAGCUUCUCUUCUAUUCAGCUGUGUGAGUUUGGGCAAACCCUUCCAACCCUUAGCUGCCUCAUCUGUAUACACAGGGCUAGGCUAGACGUCGAAGGUCCCCCAUCAGUGGAAGAGUCUAUGUUUCUCAGGUGACAGCAGAUCAAGACCGAAAAUACAUGUAAAGGAAAUAAAAAAUUUUACUUUUAUAAAAAGUCACCUCACCUCAUGGUUAGAAGAGUCACAAAAGAGUGGUUCAAGUCACGAUUUCACAAACUUAAUUACAACUAAACAAAACUAAACUUUACUUCAUUAACGCAGAUGACAGAUAAAAGACGACUUACUGGUGAUUCGAUGUCCUCUAGGAGUAAAACAGAACAGCGUUCACAUUUCAACAGUGUUUGGGCCCGAUGCAUUAUUUUCUUGACAAUUUUCUCCAGGUCAGUCUGUUCUUCAAAGAGGUCAUUAACCACCUCUAGCAAAGCCUAGGAAAGAUAAAGUGGAUGUAUUUAGGUGGCUAAGGGACUGAAUUAAAAUUUUUCUCUCAAAAUUCCAUUUAGUCUUUGCUAUAAAAAUAUAAACAUUUUUGUGUGGCUAAUUUUUAUAGUGUUUAUGGUUGUUCUGACAAACUUCCAUCAUUUCAUUUUAUAACAUAGUCUUUUUUUAUAUGUAAAUUUAUUUUUGGCUAUGUUGGGUCUUCGUUGCUGCAUGCAGGCUUUCUCUAGUUGCAGCGAGCAGGGGCUACUCUUCGUUGCGGAGCACGGGCUCUAGGCACACAGGCUUCAGCAGUUGUGGCACGCGGGCUCAGUAGUUGUGGCUCGAGGGCUCUAGAGCGCAGGCUCAGUAGCUGUGGCACACGGGCUUAGCUGCUCCACGGCUUGUGGGAUCUUCCCAGACCAGGGCUCGAACCCGUGUCCCCUGCAUUGGCAGGCAAAUUCUUAACCACUGCGCCACAAGGGAAGUCCCUAUAACACAGUCUUGAAUUGUAAAAUGUAACUUGAGAAUACUGCCAGUCCAUAAAAUCCCACAUAAGUUCCUCAUAUAUCUGUAUGACUAUAUUCCAUAUAGUUAAUGACUACAUGAUCUCAUAUAAUCAUUAUUGAUAGGCUUUUCCCCUCCUACAGUAGGUUUUCUGCAAUGUGACUAGGUAUAAAACCAACAUUUUAUGAAUAACAGAUACCUGAUUCUCUCUAAUGCACAUUUAUUUCAGAAAAUUACAAAGCAUCUCUUCCUCACCAACCAGAAGAAAUAGCUUCAUGGUCAAACUCAAGACUUAUUUUCACUAAUACCCAUCUCUCACAGAACUCUUUAAGAAUCACAGUGGCGGAUGCUACUUAAGUUUCAGAGCCUUCAAAAAAAUAUAUAAAAACUCCAUUAAUCCCUCUACACAAGAAGUAUUGCUUCAUCCCAAUCUGUCCAGGAGAACAUUUAAAUACCAUUAUACUUCUCAAAAAGAAAUCACC